ACAGUUUUCAGAGAGAGACAUGAGACCGAGGUAAAAUGCAAGCACAAACGUGGCAUUUAUUGUCUUCCAUACCAACAAGAGGAGACACCGACACCAACAAGCAAAAAAAAACAACUUGCACUGGAAGUAACUUGCUGCCUUUUAUACACUCCCUCCUGCAGCUUCAUGGUUUGCUCCUGCAGCUCUUAAGCAGGUGCUUGGGCCUACAACACUCCUUUGCCUCCGCCCCCUGCUGAAGAGACAACCAGGAAGAGGCAGGAUGGCCAGACCCCCCCUGUGGAACCACUCACAAAGACAGCUAUCAAAUGAUUCACAAAUUAAAUAAACAAUCAA